AUUGCUGUACAGUUGAGUUGGAAGGGUCCUGAAAGGUCAGAGAAUCAUGAAAUUGCUGAGUGAUUGGGUUGGAAGGGUCCUCUUAGAUUAGAGAGGCAAAGAAUUGCUGUACAGUUGAGUUGGAAGGGUCCUGAAAGAUCAAAGAAUCAUGAAAUUGCUGAGUGAUUGGGUUGGAAGGGUCCUCUUAGAUUAGAGAGUCAAAGAAUUGCUGUACAGUUGAGUUGGAAGGGUCCUGAAAGAUCAGAGAAUCAUGAAAUUGCUGAGUGAUUGGGUUGGAAGGGUCCUCUUAGAUUAGAGAGUCAAAGAAUUGCUGUACAGUUGAGUUGGAAGGGUCCUGAAAGAUCACAGAACCAUUGGAUGGGUUGCAAGAGUCCUUAUAGAUCAGAAACACAGAACUGUUUUUAAUAGUUGGCCUGGACAGGUCCUGAAAGAU